rnacentral:misc_RNA from 1 species
GGGAAGUUGGAGAUCCCUGAAAACAAUUCCUUUUUCAGUUCUGUUAUUUAUGCUUGUGCAAAGGCAGAGGACUUAUUGGAGAUGGAGAGAGUUUUCAAGCGAAUGAAAGAUAAGGGAUUCCGACCAGAUGACACAACUUACACUGUUAUGGCUGAGGCAUAUAGAAAGGAAGGAAUGACAGACAAAGUCUAUGAUUUAGAGCAAGAAAAGCGGAUGAUGUCUGCCUCAGAUUCCUGCGACAGCCAAGAUAAGCUAGAGCUAAUGCCUACUUGAGAACUAAAUAUGAAAUUUAAUUUA